rnacentral:rRNA from 1 species
UACGUAGGGGGCAAGCGUUGUCCGGAUUUAUUGGGCGUAAAGAGCUCGUAGGCGGUUUGGUAAGUCGGAUGUGAAAUCUCCACGCUCAACGUGGAGGGGCCAUACGAGACUGCCAUGACUAGAGUCCGGUAGAGGAAUGUGGAAUUCCCGGUGUAGCGGUGAAAUGCGCAGAGAUCGGGAGGAACACCCGUAGCGAAGGCGGCA